GGGUCAGUCUGGUUUGAGGAACUCCUUUCUGUCAGUAUAUAAGUAAAGGCUCAUGCAGUGCUACACCCAGUCACAGAUUGAUUUAGAAUCGAAGCUGAACAACUGAGCCUAUAUCUACAACAAACUGAGUGGACUUUAAAGAAUGAAGGGUUUUGUCAUUGUUGCUUUUCUCGUGGUUGCUGUGGCAGCAAUGGUAACAGCCAUGCCUAAUUCAGGUCAACAAGAGGAUUCCAGGCUUCAGAAUGUUCGCAUUCAAGAGCUGCUCAGUGCGAUUCAAGCUGCCAAAAGUACUACUCUGCCUAAUCAUAAUGACGAAGUGGAAUGCGUUUGCAUGAAACUCAAGGGUAAAGAUACCUCAUUUUGCGUUGGAUCCAGUUGUUCCACAGGGAAAGCAGCGAUCCCUGCUGAAUCCCAGCACUACUAUGGAUGGUGGAAAUGAUUUAACGCCUGAGAUUUGACAAGCUAUAGAGCUGAUAAACUGAUUCAAUUUACUGUAUAUAUAGCGAAAAGAACCUUGUAGAUCGCCACAAUGGCAAUUAUAUUGUUGCAAAAUUUUAAAUGAAUGUGCGAUUACACUCA